rnacentral:sRNA from 1 species
UCACAGCCCAGCGCAGUGCAGGCCCUGGGGAGAGCAGGAGUUAGAGAUGGGGAGGACUGUGCCUGCAACAGGCACUGCCUGCUACACCCUGCCAUGGACAGAGGGGCUGUCCUCCCACCCCACAGAGGCCCCAUCCUUCUCUUUCUCUCCCUAAGGCUGCUCCAGCAGGGAGUUUAGCUCCAUGGACACCUUUGAAGACUGUGAAGGUACAGAAGACAUGGAAAAGGAGAGCAGCGCUCUGAGUCUCGCGGGCCUUUUCCAGUCGGACGACAGCCACGAAACCUGUUCCCCCAAAUCCGCUUUCCUGGAGAGGGGAGAAAGCACCCAGGGAGAAAAAGAAGAACGCGAUGAGGAGGAAACGUGAGUGUGAGCGAGGAAAGACUAAGCGCCUCUUUGGGCCACGGCGUCUCUGACUUUCUUCUCGGAAUUGCAGGGCGACCCGCAGCACCGAGGAGGAGCGCGCUGGGGCGUCCACGGGCCGGCUGGCUCCUGCGGGGUCGACGGCUGGUUUCCAGGCGAGGGCGCUGCGCACGAGGACCUCCGCCCCGGAGAGCUGACCUCCCUGCGGACGCCCCCGCUCCUCGGCCCCAGAGCGCCCGCAUUCCCGGGAGAGGCGGUGUGGGGGCCUGGGCCCUGCCCAGCUACGCA